AAUUGCUUUAGCAAACUUCUCCUGAUUUUAACAUUCCUCUAGAUAUUAAGGUUGCAUUUCAUGAUUUAUUCCUGCUUCCUGGUAAUGCGGUGUCUUGUUUCAUAGUGGGUACUUGAAUAUUUGUUAGUAAGAGGACAUGUGAGAGUAAGAGGCACUUCUUCCAGCAGAAACACCUGCACUUUCCAACUUGCCCCUGGUCAGGAGAGUUCAACAACCAAAGUUAUAACAUUCUGUGUGCAAGGAUGAACAUCUUUUCAGUAUAAGUACAAAGAAAAGCCUUAAUAAAAUAUAAUAUGUGAAUAGGAGUAUCUAUCUUGCCUAAUGUUGUAUACCUAAAAGGCUGAGCACCUAAGCAAUGAUAAAAAGACUUCCUCUGCCGAGCAGCAGGAAGACAUGAGUCCCUGGGGCAAAAUAGCCCAUUUCCACUGUGAGGCAGGGCAUGGAUCAAUGUUGCAGGUGUUUGUCUUUAGUGACUAAGCUGUCCAGUGGACCAGUGAAGCUAGAUCCUUGACUUUUAGGUGAUUAAUGUACAUGAGAUUAAUCCUAUUCAUAAUUCAUGAUGUAAUAAUAACAUAAUUAGAUGAAUUCAUUGCUAUAUGUUUGUUGCCAUGCUCUGUGGAAAGCAGAAGUAAAAUGAAGGGAGACAAUACUGUAAAAAAGACAGAUGCUUAAAAUGGCAGAAAUUGAAGCACAGAUAUUCAAACUUAGUAAUGACAUACAUUAAAAUAGUUUUUGAACGGAAAUAAAAGAAAGCGAACCGAGAGAUAAGCUGUUGUGUGCUCGGAUUGGUGUCCAACUUUGAAUUUGCUGAAUUUGCCUUGAGAAAGAUUCGUGAUUUUGAAAUGUGUGGAAAAUUGCUGUAGGACCUCCUUUUUGUAUCAUCCACAGGCAUCCUGUGCUAAUGUAUGAUGUCAGUGUUCCCUGCACUGCCCAUUUUACCAGCAGAACAUCGGCGGAUGUGUGCUGGAAGCUGGCUGCUCUGCUCCAGGACGGCUGCACAAGGCAUGGAGGGAUGGGGAGCCCUUGCUGCUGAGUUCCAAGCUCUCUGCAAGAUUAUUUGCAGCCUUUGUUGCAACACAUCAAAAUGUGUUUCUGGAUGCCCCCUCUCUCCUUAAGCAAAAUCUUGGAAGCGACGUGAACUUCCCAGAGGAGCUGCUCCCAGUCCCUGUGAGGCCUCCAACUGACCGGAAGGAAGAAUUGUUGUGGCUGUUAGGAUAGUGUGGGAAAUGCAGUUGUUAGCAUUCUUUUUUUGAGGGUGGGGAUUGGAAAAUGUAGAAAUACUCUGUGGUAUUUCAUCAAUGUUUUAUAUAGUAACACAUUUCACAAGAAAGUUUUAU
rnacentral:lncRNA from 1 species